CCCCACCACUCAACUCUAAACCCCCCUGUUCGAAAACGCGGCCGCCUAAGCAGCCGUCUGGGCGCUCGGCGACGAAGGCCCGCUUCGACUUUAGCCAAAUUGUUGUAACUAAUCGGAAACACAAUUAAUCGCUUUUCUAAGCGAUUAAUCGGACAUAAACCGAUUUAUUCAACUAAAUUUUGGACUUUGGUGACAAAUUAUUGGGCCAUGGAAGAGGCCCAGUUGUCUGGAAGGAUUUGAGACUUUCUCCUUGUAUUUAUAGAAGACUCAUAGAAGAC
rnacentral:lncRNA from 1 species